GGCAUGCAGCCCAGCCACUAAGCUAUCCAAGGGUGGGUUGCAAAUGGCUCUCUGUGGAAAGCUCAAGGGGUGGGGAGGGUAUGUUAUUGGACCCCUUGUCUUACUGGCAGUUUUCUAUGAGGCUGGAAGGGACUUGUCUUAUUCAUCUUGUUUUACAGCCUGCAUGGUGGCCAGGCUUGUACCCUUUCACACCUUAGCCACUGUUGGUUGCUGUUGGUCAGUUGGUUGCAGCAAAUCCAUAAAAAUAGCCCAUUAAGAUUAGUUUGAUGAAGGUAGAAGUUCUCCCAACAAAGCAUAAGGAUGGAGUAUGCAGUCAUGUAAGGAGAAAUUGUAAAGAAUGCCAGAGGCGUUUCAAGGGUUGAUAGAAUGGGGUUGGUAAUAUUCCUCAGUUAUUGUCGAGACUCACCGAAAUCAGGGGGUACUCGAAACAGUUACUGAGCAGCUAUGAAAUUUUGUGCAGUGGUCUUUUUGGUUUAUCUAGCCAUUUGUGCCGAUGUAAGUGAGAGAAAGAAAAAUUUCAAACAAAUUUUGGGCAAGUUGUCAGAUCUUGAGGACUUGAUAAAAAAGAAACAAAACUGCUGUAGGGUGAGUGGGUAAGGUCCAGAAGAUCGUUUCUGUUGUUUACAUUUACUUUUCAUCAUCGCUUUCAGGUUGCCUGAGGGUUUGGAAUUUCAGUUGGAUAAAAAUUGGUCGUUAAAAUGAUGGCUUGGAAUAUCCGCAUUUAUCUACUAGUGACUGAUUGCUUAAGCUUAUCUUUAAGUUGGUCUCUCCUCAUCAGUACGGUGGCCUAUUGGGGCAAAACACAACUCAAUUUCUCUUCUGAAACACAGUAGUGUUUUCCAGAACACAAAGAAAUCUUCUGAAACACAACAAUCUUUUCCAGAACACAACGGAAUUUUCUGAUACACAAAAGCAAGCUAAAACACACCAAAAUCAAAAUUUCAAAGUACUGGGCCGGGUUGUUCAAAGCUUGAUUAAGAUAACCCAGGAUUAGUGUGAAAUUUGAUAUCAUAUUUGAAAGCUUAAAAAAAGAUCUAGCGUAAUUUGUUUGUCUACAAUGUUAUGACUGCAUGCUCUAAAGAGAAUCCAGAAAAUCAUCCCAAACUGGCUUUUGAACAAAGGAAUUGAAGAAACCGUGAAUAAAUUUUAAUCUUAGGUUAGCGCUAAUCAGCUGUCGAACAACUGGGCCCUGGUAACUAAACCUGUCGCUAAAAGCGUCCAGAACCUGGAACUAGCUCUGGCUAAGGCGGCAACGAGUUUUGAACCGUUCGUGUAGUGGAUUUGAACUAAAUUGGCUUCUUCAAGUUCAGUAAGCGAUCAUCCAGAAGAAGAAAGCAUAAUCUCGUAUCAGUUUUCAAGAGGAUAUCACUGAAUUUUUAGUUAAGUGUCAUGGCAUUACGAUGUGUGUACUGAUCAGAUUGACAAAAUACCAGUUGUAGGUUGAAGCAUUUGACUUACGUUGUUCAGGAACAAAUUAUGAAUGAGCUAAGAGGCCCAGGCUACCAAGGUGGAUAUAGAAGUAUGUGGCAUACCCUACGACUUAAAAAUAUUCAAGUUCCUAGACAUUUAGUAGCUGAACUUAUGAGGGAAAUGGAUCCAGAAGGAUGUGAGCAGAGGAAGGCAAAAAUCCUCGAAAGAGGAAGUUACUUCUUAUCUGGUCUAAACUACACAUGGCACGUCGACGGAUACGACAAAUCAAAGCCUUAUGGAUUUCCAAUUCAUGUGUGUAUUGAUGGAUGGAGUUGAAAAUAAUUUGGCUAACAGUCACAAGGUGGCAAACAACCAUCCAGAAAUUAUUGCCAAUGUCUAUUUGAACUGUGUUGCAGGGCUAGAAAGCUGUCCAGUGAAACUGAGGACUGACUGUGGAACAGAAAAUAGCGUAAUGGCAGCUGUGCAAUGUACAUAUCAACAAGAUGCAAAUGUGCACAAGUAUGGGUAAUCUCUGGUGAACCAAAGGAUUGAGAGCUGGACACCUUCAGUUAAGAUUCAAAAGUGUGGUCUUCCAGGUCUUCAGUCUCUCCCUAAAAUGGAGUCACGGGAUUGGAUUACUUGGAGGCCAUGUUACUAACCUACUGAAGCACUUCCUUCACCAAGAUCUGCCUUGGCAUGAAGCUCAAUGGGUUAACCAGGUCCUUGGGAGUGGAUCAGGAAGCAGCCUCACUAUGUGCCCUCAUUGCUGGGGACAGGUUCAGCAGGGUGCAAAUGGGUAUCAUUGGCAAUGGACAAGAUGGUUGCAGUUCCCCUGACUCCAGAAUAGGAUUUGGUUGAGGAGGAUCAGGAUACAAAAAUGCAUAAGGAAAAAGCUUUGUGGAGGGCGGACAAUGGAGACAAAAAUAUCAAUGAAGGUGUUUGGAUACUGAACUGCUCUGCUCAAGGAAAAAGCUGCCUGCAACAUGGAGCUGUCUGGUAGUUGACAAUUUUGAAUUAAAUCAAGUUUUUAAGUGAGGGCCAGACACAAACACUUAAAUUACAGAAAAUAAUUGGCAGACCAUGACAAUAAGUGACCAGUUCUAUCGCCGAGAGAGGCAGGGGCAGAGAUGAUUUUUUGGGGAUCACAUGGUUUUCAGGUGAAUGGUGAGGGGAUCUGUCAUUCACAAAUAGACUAUAGAGGCACUGUAGAAAAUGAGUGUUUCUUCUUUUGUAUUUUUCCCAUUCACCCCUAUUCCCUUCUUUAGAACCUUACCAUACAAGCCACAUUUACCUGAUAGGGGUUAAUUGUUGAAAUUCAAGUGUUCGAAUGUAGGAAAAAUGCAUGUAGCCCAAUAUUCCAUUUGAAUAAGCUUUGUUGUUGUGCAGCUGUAACCUGAUAUUUCAUUUGAAUAAGCUUUGUUGUUGUGCAGCUGUAACCUGAUAUUCCAUUUGAAUAAGCUUUGUUGUUGUGCAGCUGUAACCUGAUAUGUCAUUUGUAUAAGCUUGGUUGUUAUGCAACUGUAGCCUGAUAUUCCAUUUGAAUAAGCUUAGUUGUCCUUAGUUGAGAUGACUCGAUACGCAUUAUCGUGAGUAAAAUUAAAGAACAAAUUUUGUCAAGGAUGGAAACACACCUCCAAGGGCUUCUUUAUUUCAACAGUUACAAACAUUACUUAAGACAUCAUUUUCAUAAAAAGUUCUCAAUCUAAUUCAGUGCAGCAGCUCCUGAGAUGAUCUCAAUCAAUUCCCUUGUAAUCACAGCUUGGCGAGUUUGAUUGUAUGUCAGAGUCAACUUGUCAAUCAUUUCACCUUUAAGUUCAGAUCUUGCACCAAGAUCACAUUAGUAAUUCUCCUUACUGUCUACCAUACAGUUCAUGUGAUGUUAGUUUUGAGAAUUUGGUAUUGGAUCAACUACUAAUCCUCUAACUGAUAUAUUUCUUUAUUUUUGUCACUUAUCUGCUUGAUAUUGUAUUGAUAUCGCAAGGAGAAGUCACUAGAUUGGAUCACUUGGAGACCCUGUUUCCAACCUACUGAAGCACUUCCUUCACCAAGAUAUGUCAUGGCAUGAAGGUUGAUGGGGUAACCAGGUUCUUGCAAUGGGUGUCAAUGGCAAUGAACAAGAUGAUUGCAGUUCCCAUGAUUCCAGAAUCGGAUCUGGUGAAGGAGGAUCAAGAUAUGAAAACACAUGUGGAAACAAAGCUUUGUGGAGUGCAGACAACAGAGACAAAAAUAUCAAGGAAUUUGGAUACAUCUUCAUUCAAUAAAGACACUGAACCACUCUACUCAAGGAAAACGCUGCAUGCAACAUAAAGCAAUGAUUAUGCUUUAAUUUCAGUAUUGGGGAUUUUAAAAUAUUGUCUGGUAGAUGACAAUUUUGAAUAACAUCAAGUGUUUAACCAUUUAACUCCCAUGAGUGACCAAGACAGAAUUUCUCCUUACAAUAUCAAGCAGACAAGUGAUGAGAGUGAAGAAAAAUAUCAAUUAGGGGAUUAUAACUUGAUCUAAUACCAUAUUCUCCAAACUAACAUAACAAGAACUGUAUGGCAGACAGUAAAGAGAAUCACUAAUGAGAUCUUGGGUGUUAAAGGGUUAAGUUAGGGCCAGACAUGAACACUUAAAUUACAGGAAAUAAAUAGCAGACCUUGAGAAUAAGCAACCAGUUAUCAUUUUAUCAUUAAGGGAGGGGGGUUGGUGGUUAUUUUGGGGGAUCACAUGGUUUUCAGGUGAAUGGUUAGGGGUUUUGUCAGUCACAAACAGACUAUAAAAAGGCACUGUAGAAAAUAGAGUUUUUUUUUUCCAUUCACCCCUAUUCCCCUCUUAACCUUUUAACUCCCAUGAGUGACAGAGACAGAAUCUCUCCUUACAAUGUCAAUACAAUAUCAACCAGACAAGUGAUGAGAAUGAAGAAAAAUAUCAAUUUGGGGAUAAGUAGUUGAUCCAAUACUCAAUUGUCUGAACUAACAUUAUAACAGUUAUAUGGUUGACAGUAGGGAGAAUUACAAAUUUGGUGUAGGAGUUAAAGGGUUAAGAACCUUCCCACACAGGCUACAUUUACCUGAGUGGGGUUAAUCAUUCAAAUUCAGUUGGUAGAGUGUAGGAAAAAAUGCAUGUAACCUGAUAUUCCAUUUGAUUAAGCUUAGUUGUCAUGCAGCUAUACAAAGUACUUGUUGUUCUGCUCCCAUUGACACCUGAACUGCAACGUAACCACCCAUGUCAUGCGGUGGACUUGU